GUCCCUGAAGCGCAAUGGGUUACGCGUUGGAAUUCUAAUCCAAAGGUCGUGGGUUCGAAUUCCACCUGUGAUG
rnacentral:tRNA from 1 species